rnacentral:rRNA from 1 species
GACGAACGCUGGCGGCAUGCCUAACACAUGCAAGUCGAACGAGACCUCCGGGCCUAUUGGCGCACGUGGGCGUACGGCGUGGGAACCUGCCCUUAGGUUCGGUAUACCUCCCCGAGAGGGAUGCUAAUACCGGUUAAGCUCUUCCCACCUAGGAUUUCUUGCUGUGGGGUGGGCCCGGGUUAGAUUCGCUAGUUGGUAGUGGAAUAGCCUACCAAGGAGAGGAUCCAUAGCUGGUCGGAGAGGAUGAUCAUCCACGCUGGGACUGAGACACGGACCAGAAUCCUACGGAAGGGAGCAGAGGAGAAUAUUGUACGAGGGACGAUGAUGUGACAAAGCAGUGUGGGGUAUGUGGUGAAGGGCUUAGGGUUGUAAAGCUGUUUUAGACGAGAUGAUAGUGACAGUACCGGGAGAAUAAGCACCGGCUAACUACGUG